rnacentral:lncRNA from 1 species
UAGGUACCUGUAUGGCAUCAAGUAGAGGUAUGUUGACAUAUAAUUUCUGAAUGACCUCUACAAACUUACCAAACUGCUCAUCCGACUGCAGUCCUCUGUUUCUUCUGGGAAAUGGCAAAUAGUUGGUGUCGUAAAAAUCUUUCCUCAUUUAUCUAGUUUUUGGUGGUUGGAGCAGAUCUUCUGCUUGAACUGGGCUUUCUUCUUCUAUCAUUGCUGG